GCGGCUCAGUGGGUAGAGCAUCAGCCUACGGACUGAAGGGUCCCGGGUUCGAUUCCCGGGCA
rnacentral:tRNA from 1 species